UGGGGAAAAUAGCACAAUGGGGGAAACCCUGAUGCAGCGACGCCGCGUGAGCGAAGAAGUAUUUCGGUACGUAAAGCACUAUCAGCAGGAAAGAAAAUGACGGUACCUGACUAAGAAGCCCCGGCUAACUACGUGCCAGCAGCCGCGGUAAUACGUAGGGGGCAAGCGUUAUCCGGAUUUACUGGGUGUAAAGGGAGCGUAGACGGCAUGGCAAGCCAGAUGUGAAAGCCCGGGGCUCAACCCCGGGACUGCAUUUGGAACUGUCAGGCUAGAGUGUCUGAGAGGUAAGCGGAAUUCCUAGUGUAGCGGUGAAAUGCGUAGAUAUUAGGAGGAACACCAGUGGCGAAGGCGGCUUACUGGACAAUGACUGACGUUGAGGCUCGAAAGCGUGGGGAGCAUACAG
rnacentral:rRNA from 1 species